CGCGGUUAUACGAGAGACCCAAGUUGUUAGGCAUCGGCGUAAAGGGUGGUUAAGGCAAUACCCAAACUAAAGCCGAACAUCUUCCAAGCCGUCAUACGCACACGAAGACAAGAAGCCCGAUAACGAAAGUGGCUCUAACCUGCCUGAACCCACGAAAGCUAUGACACAAACUGGGAUUAGAUACCCCACUAUGCCUAGCCCUAAACAUCGACAGUAAAUUCACCAACUAGUCCGCCCGGGAACUACGAGCACCAGCUUAAAACCCAACGG
rnacentral:rRNA from 1 species